UACGUAGGGGGCAAGCGUUGUCCGGAAUCAUUGGGCGUAAAGGGCGUGUAGGUGGUUCUGUAUGCCUACCGUGAAAGCGUACGGCUCAACCGUAUUUAGUCGGUAGAAACUGCAGGACUUGAGGCUGGGAGGGGCUGGUGGAAUUCCCCGUGUAGCGGUGAAAUGCGUAGAGAUGGGGGAGAACACUCGUGGCGAAGGCGGCCAGCUAGACCAGUUCUGACACUGAGGCGCGACAGCGUGGGGAGCAAACAGG
rnacentral:rRNA from 1 species